CUAAAGCCCGGUUACUGUUACUACUGUUCAUAAGAGACUGAAAAGACGGUUCUGCCCUCAUUUGGAUUUUUUUUACGCUCUGCCACUGACCCUUUUUUUUCUUCUCUCUUCCUCCAGAAGCCUCCUAGACCGACUUUUUUGCUCUCUCCCCUGCUUUCUAAACAGCCUCCUUCACUCCCUCAGACGACUAAAUCGGCGGAAAGAGAGUGUGAAAGUUGGAUCUGCUGCUGUUGGUUGCUUUAAGAUACAGAGGUUGGGUUGAAAAUGAGUACGAAAUUUCACCGUCUACGAGUACGACAUCUGGGUUCAGAGUUGAAGCUAUUAACUUGCUUCUUUCAUUAGUUAAUCUAACGAGUUGUUAGGUCUUGCUUUUGCAGAUUUUAUGCAAAAAAGUAUUGGUACCGUCUUUCUGCUGCUGUUCCAUUGUCUGUUACUCAGUAUUAUCUUGCUUUCCCAUUUUGAUUCAGAUUUUGGGAACAGUUUGCAGUCAGAUUCCUUGAAUCUUUUGGAUCCAGAGUGUGUAAUGCCAAGAGGUAUAUGUAAGGGUAGGAGCAGCUCAAGUUUAGAAAAUUAGUAAAUAUUCAAUUUAAGGGCAAUGAACUCGAAACUUUCCGGAUCCCAAGUUGACAUGCUAAGGUACAACAUACUAAAAUUUCAAGCAAAUUGGAGUUCAGCAAACAUGGCAAAAGAUGGAUGGAAACAGACUGAAUUGUGCAGUUUUCUUCAGAGUUUUUGUAGCAACCUGGAAUGUAAGAGGGAAAUCUCUCCAUAGUGACCUUAAUCUGCACGAUUUUCUGCAGCUUGAUAAUCCAUCAGACAUAUAUGUCUUGGGCUGACUUCGAUAAGAUUGGACAAGGUGGUUUUGGGGCUGUUUACUAUGCCGAGCUGACAAGCAAGCUACUUUGUCUAUGUAAUUUUUCUGAUGGAGAUCUUCAACAUCAGUGGUUAUUUGUUUGGAACAAAUAAACACUACAGACUGAAAGCACACUGGAAGAUCACAUGAUGAUAGUUACUGAUAUUGGAUUUAGAACAAAUCUCCUGAACAGAAUAAGGACAAGUAUGAUCGUAGAGUUCUACGAGUUCAGAGUCGAUCAGUAAAAUAGAGGCAAUGUUUGAAGCUGAACUUGAGAGGUUAGGGCUAAACAGCAGUACUUCUACUUUGGAGCGAAGAUUAAUUUGAGAGCUUCCAAACAGUGUUCAUCAAGUUUCUGAAGACCAUUUGGGAAAACUCUAAUACUUUACAGGCCAGUGUUUACAUCAGAGGAAGUCAAGCCAUAACAUCAACAACUAGAACUUGCCUGGUGGCUCCAAAUGAUCACAGAACACUAAGCCUAGAUGCUUUACAAAAGAAUGCACCAACUGUGAAGAACAGACUGCUGCUGUUUGAUUUGUAGCACCAUCGAGGUGGAAGCAGCUUCUCAGGAUUAUGCUCAUGUCAAAGCGUCCUAAAAUCCCCCCUUCUGGCCCAAGCCACAGGACCAACAAGACACCUAAUCCCUCGAGAGAUUACUAAACACUUCUAUUAUUUGUAUACAGAGAAUAGCAUUUCCAACUGAAGUUUGGUUGAAUUUUUUGGCAAACUUCUUCAUGUGUUUCUGAUUUUGUUUGAUGGGUUUGAUUAUUCUUCUAACGUUUCUUGAACGAC